rnacentral:misc_RNA from 1 species
UUCCCUGAAGUCUGGUUCCUU